ACUUGAGAUUAGCGAAUGUUCACACCUUGAGUCUUCGCUCCCCAUAAAUUUGUUCCCAAAACUUACCCGCUUGGAUAUAAUAGGAUGUAAGGAUUUGGAAUCUCUUGCAGUCUCAGAACAGCAUGAACAUGAUGGAAUAACAUACCUCAACAGCUGUCUCCAUACGUUAAUAAUUAAUCAUGGCCUCUCACUUAUUUCCCUUCCUAGGGGUGAUUCACUCUCGGCAUUGAAAAUGCUUUUGAUCAAUGACUGUAAGAAGUUGGAGCUCCCCAUGGGCAAUAUUCAUCCAGCGAAUUGUCCUUGACAGCUUCAUGUGAUUCUCUCACAUUCUUUCCAUAUACCUAUUCUCAAAGCUGAAGAGUAUCGAAAUUUACAGGUGUAUGAAUCUGGAAUCUCUUGAGCAACACGGACACGAUCAAUGAUAUCACAAAUUAAAAUCCAUAAUUGUCCUAAUUUUGUAUCUUUUCCGAAAGGAGGAUUGCGUGCCCCUGCCCUUACAGAGUUUUCCAUAGGAGGUUUUAAGAGUCUGAGGUCAAUGCCGGAUAAGAUGCACUUGCUACUUCCGUCUCUUCAAUCCUUGGAGCUACUAGAUUGUCCAGAAGUUGAGUUGUUUCCUAAAGGGGGAUUGCCUUCCAACCUGAAGGAAAUUACGAUCCGCAGAUGUAACAAACUCAAUGAGAGUCGGAUGGGAUGGGGUUUGCAAAAACUUUCGUCUCUUGUAUCUUUGAAAAUUGAUGGCGAAACAGAAGAUGCAGAGUCUUUUCCAGGGACGAGGUUGCUGCCCUCCAGUCUGACGCAUCUUGGAAUCUAUGAAUUUUAAAAAUUGGAAUGUCUGGACAAUGAGGGGUUUCAACACCUCACUUCUCUUCAAGAACUGGAGAUCAGUGGAUGCCCCAAGAUCAAGUACUUGCCAGAAGAGGGCUUGCCUGCCUCCCUUGCCAUUUUAAAUUUAGGAGACUGUCCUGUGGUGAGAAAACGCUUGCAAAGGCCAACGGGAAAGGAAUGGCACAAGAUUACUCACGUCCCCAACGUAUUCAUUGAUUUGGAAUCGGGGAGAUCUGAGCACUUUGUACAUGACCGGUCUUGAACAAUCUCUUACAUACUAAACUACCCAGCAGAUGUAUGGUGGCAAAGACAGAAGUAUUUCAGCUUUAUACAGCUAGGUACCUAUAUGUAUAUAUAUAUUUCUGUCUCUUUUUCAUAUAUUCUGGGAGACGAGGGGUUGCAAGAUCAAAACACUGGAGAAAGGAAAUAGGCAAAGAAAAGGACCCGCUUCAUUCCUGACGUCCCUGCCUUCUGUCGUAAUAAGUUAUGAGCCUGAGACAUUAGGCAUUUCAAUUGUUCACAUAUCUUGAAGACUUGUGCAUCUCUGUUGCGCCAUUCUUUUGUCUUUGCCAUUGCUUCUUCAAUAAAGGAGAAUCGAAGAUAUACAUCUACAACAGGUGAACAAGUCCUCGUGAAAAAAGUACAUUCACAAUAGGUGACUGAAUGAAGGGAGGGAAAGACAUAUUCAGCUAGCUUUUACGAUUAUCCGUAUAUUACUGUCACUUUCUCCUUAUACUUUCUUUCUCAUUUCUUUUUCAUUUAUAAUUUCCCAAUAUUAUAUUUUUUCCUUAAUCGUAUUGAAAACUUUUCAAUUACAACAUUUAGACGAUCUAAGAGCUGCGAUUACAGUACAUCAAGCAGAGGUGAGCAUACAUAUGACUGGUGUCGUGGCAAAAAUCGUGACAUACACAAUUCAUUUGAACGGAUUGGACUUAGAUGCGUCAAUAUGGUGGUGGGGAAAUCUAAUGUGGGUUUGGAAUUACCAGCCCGUACAUUUUCUACUCAAAGCUCCUAGGUGAGAACAGGUAAUCAGAGGAUUUUCUCGUGGCUAAUGUGGGAUCCAUGUCAAGGUGACUCGUGAUUUUAAUAUCCAGACAGCUUUACACCAAUUUGAAGCGACUGCAACUUCUAAUACCAACAAUUAUUAGAACUUUUGGAUGAGAAAGCUGUGUGGGUUGAAACAUUAGAGCGCACUGGAUUGUGAAGUCAUAAUGCGAACCUUUCAGUUUCCAAAAUGGACUCAGUCGACCAUUGGGACAAUCAUACUUAAAUGUUGAUGGGAAAUCCGGGGGUGUUGUGAUGCUGAUAUAAAUUUUGUAACAGGUUUUAUUACUUCACAAUAUGGUGAAUAAUGUACCAAUACCAUGGCGGAGGUAGGAACCAUUUUAGAUGGCUUGUAACUUUGUAUAAAGUUUCACUCACAAGUGUGUGACCAUUUGGUGGAAAGGAAAUGGCCUGAUAUGUCCUGUGCGGGGAGGGACAUUUGUGACAGGAUCUCUUAUAUGUUGGCUUAGCACCUUGACGAUUUAUAUGGACAUGUGUCGAGGGAGGUCAAUUUAGUGGAUGAUUAUGCUCCUGUUGCUUAA